AAUAUAUCCAUUGCCUAAAAAAAAAAUUCCCAAAGAAAUGGAUAAUUAUUUCAAAAAGAAUAAAUAGAAAAAGAGUAUUUUUAAAGAAGAAACGGACAUUUCAAGAAGAGUUUUCACAAUGAAAAUUAUUACUAAAUGAUGGGCAAAAUAAUGAUUGAAAUGACUCAUUGAAUUUUUGGUGGGAUUCGCAAUUCUGAUGGAAAAAAUGAGCAAUAUAUUGAGAGAAAUGAUUUGCAAACGAAUAAACGAAUUUCGAAAUCAAAGUCCGGAGGAAGAAAUCGAAACUCUAACGUUUAACUUGCACUACUGCUGCGGAUUAACGAGGGGAAUAUUUGAAGUAAAGAAAAAAAAAGAAAACGAGGGGAAUAUCUUCUUUUUGGAUUACUUCUAGUCGAAUGAUGAGUGAAGGGAGCAAUUUUGGUUUAAAAGAAGGACUAAAGAUAGUUACAGACCCCGGGCCACCUUCCGGAACGUGUAAAUGAGGUUUGCCUAUGACGUUUUGGUUUGAAAUGAGAGACAAAGAGAGACGAACAAAACAUCUAGUCAAAUUGAGAAGAACUAAAUUUAGUUCGAUCGAGAAUAAACGAGGUAAGUCGUUUUUCACAAUUGGAUAAUAAUAAUAAUAAUAAUACCAGUAACAAUAUUGUAACGAUAAAGAACAUAUUGUUGAACAUUUUCAACGGAAACAAUCAUUUUCAAAAUUUACUCGCGUCUCUAAAACAACCGACGAGAACGUAUAUAAAAUCUAGAUUUCUAAUAAUAUGAGAAAGUCCAGGGCGGGUGGUCUGUGUUUAUUUUGGAACACUCCAUGAAAAUUUUUGUCCACACAUCGAAGGACAGUUCCAACGGAUAUUAAAAAUUGAAAAAUACAAUUUUAGAAAAUUACACUGAAAAAGUGUAUUUUUAUUUUAAUGCAAAACUUUUUUUUCGUCAAACUAUUAACAAUAAAUAGAAAAGAAUUUUGCUUACUAUUUAUUUUUUCGCCUUCUGCAGAAACUUGAAAAAAUAGCGAAAUUUGAUAUAUGAGUGAAAAAAUUGCAUUUAUUAAUAGAAAAUUUAAAAAAAAAGCUCGGUUGAAUAACAUAUGCUUCCAUCAUUUUGAUUCACGAUUUUGAACAUGGAAAAUGAAUCGUGGACAAAUAGCUUUCACCAGAAGAUGAAACGUUUUUGCUAAAAUGUAGGUUUUGUUAAAAUGUAAACAUAUUAUUUAAAAAUCAAACCAGAGCCUGUCAAUGACUCAUGUAAAAAUAAAAAGAAAUAAAAUGAAGCGUAAAAAAACCUACGACUCAGGAAAAUAUAAAUUUACAAACUAAAUUUAGGGUCGGAAGAGAUAAUAAUAGCUUUCUCCAUAAGAAUGAAAUAAUCAUCGUCAUAAUAUUUAGAUAAUUAUUUAAAUCAUUUCAAUAAAUUUUUUUCUAUUAAAUAAAUAUUAGAAUAAAUAUUGUUAA